UGGGGAAUAUUGGGGCAAAUGGGGCGCAAGCCUGACCCAGCAACGCCGCGUGAAGGAAGAAGGGUUUCGGCUCGUAAAGCUCUGUUGGUAGUGAAGAAAGAUAGAGGUAGUAACUGGCCUUUAUUUGACGGUAAUUACUUAGAAAGUCACGGCUAACUACGUGCCAGCAGCCGCGGUAAUACGUAGGUGGCAAGCGUUGUCCGGAUUUAUUGGGCGUAAAGCGAGUGCAGGCGGUUCAAUAAGUCUGAUGUGAAAGCCUUCGGCUCAACCGGAGAAUUGCAUCAGAAACUGUUGAACUUGAGUGCAGAAGAGGAGAGUGGAACUCCAUGUGUAGCGGUGGAAUGCGUAGAUAUAUGGAAGAACACCAGUGGCGAAGGCGGCUCUCUGGUCUGCAACUGACGCUG
rnacentral:rRNA from 1 species